rnacentral:rRNA from 1 species
GAUGAACGCUGGCGGCGUGCCUAAUACAUGCAAGUCGAGCGAAAAGACGAGGAGCUUGCUCCUCUGACGUUAGCGGAGGACGGGUGUGUAACACGUGGAUAACCUACCUGUCAUACUGGGAUAUCUACGGGAAACGGGAGCUUAUACCGUAUAAUAUCUUGCACCGCGGGGUUCAAUAGUAAAAUACGGUGUUUCUGUCUGGUAUAGCUGGAUCCGCGCCGCAUUAGCUAGUUGGUAAGGUAACGGCUUACGAAGGCAAGGAUGCGUAGGCGACCUGAGAGGGGGAUCGGCGACACUGGAGCUGAGACACGGUCCAUGCUCCUACGAGAGGCACCAGUAGGGAAUCUUCCGCAAUGGUCGAAAGCAUGACGGAGCAACGCGGCGUGAGUGACGAAGGUCUUGGGUUCGUAAUACCCUGUUAUGAGGGAAAAACAAAUUUGUAAGUAACUAUGCACGUCUUGACGGUACCUAAUCAGAAAGCCACGGCUAACUACGUG